GGUGGAGACACUCCUUUGGUUCAACUGGCGCAAAUAAGUUUUUGGAAAAAAAUGCAGAGCGAAAGGCGGAGGUGUUUCUCAUCGCUUGCGACCAUGCUACCUGCCCUUGCUAACUUUUGACAACAGGGCAAGGCAGUGGCCAGAACAUGUCACCUCGCAGAUGCUUCUCUGAAACAUAGCACAUUAUUAUUAUUAUUAUUCCAUUUACAAUAUAACCAACUUUUCCUCCAAGGAGCUCGAAGUGGCAUGCAUAGGGCUCCCCAUUCUCUCCUCACAAUAACCCUGUGAGGUAGGCUAGGUGGAGAAGCAGUGGCUGCCCCAAGGUCACCUGGUGUACAAGCUUCAUGGCUGAGUUGGGAUUUCAACCUUAGUCUCCCAAGUCCUACUCCACCAUAACCCCUAAGCAGCCUGGAGAAGGCCAGACUGCCUCAGGGGCUUUUGAAUGCGCCUUCAGGAGAACAAUGCUGAUCUGAAGGGGGAAGCUAGGAAGCAGUAAACAGAAAUAUUGCAUCCACUUUUAUUUGUGGUCAAUCCAGCACAUUUCUUAGCCUGUCCAUUGUAACAUAAGUGUUAUGUACUGAAGUUAUCACCCUGGGCCAGCAGGGGGGUGCUGUAGAUAGUUAUGCAAAUGAAGGAUCGAAAGUGACGUUCAGUGAUUGGAUAGUUUGUAUGCAAAUGAAGGAUCGAAAGUGACGUUCAGUGAUUGGCUAGUUACAGAAAAUGGUUACUGUUGCAUUCUAGUGGAGCUCUAUAUAAGCAGGCUGACUGAGCUCCUCAUUUCAGUUCUGUUCCAGCUUACAAACAAAGAGCUGCUUUGGAAGAAUCACUGUGUCGUCUGAUAUGUUCGCCCACAACUUAACAAUAAGAGUCAUAAGAGUUCAGAACUGGGUUUCCUUUUAACCUCUGAAUGGAGCCUUUCCAUUUUAGAAGAAGCACGGGUGAACUCAAAAUCUUAUAACUUUGGUCUAUGAAAACAAACCAUUGCUACACCCUUAGUGCCUAUGCCAAACAUGUCUACAGCUUCCCAUCAUUCACCAGGGCCAAACCCCAGCUUUUUCCUUCUCAGAAAACUUCGCUCACCAAGCCCUUUCAUAUUUGCUUGCUUUUCAGAGCGGGUUUAGCAAAGCAAGCAGAAUUAAUUGCCCUUGAGAAGAUGACCACGGACAGAAAACUGGCCACAGCUCCUAGCUUUAGUAGCAGGUCAGGGAGCCUAGCUUUCAUCUGCUGGCAUCAAACCUUUCUAUAAAAGAUAAAUUAAACCACAAGGAAAUUACUGCAGUGGCUACAAGGGGCGAGUCUUGCCUGUUCCAUACUCAGGUUUCUCCCCAAGGAGGAAUGGGGUUGCAGAAAGAGGACAGUGGCUAUUCCAGAUGCAGUUACUUCUGGAUGGAGAUGAAGGAAAUCAAUGAAAUGUUUAUAGAAGGUAGGCAGAGACUGAGGCAGUGUGCAUACAUCUCGGAACAUAGCAUAUGGAAACUAUUAGGUAUAUGAGAAUUAGGUGUGCAGACCACUGAGGUUUCUUGGAAAAGGGCAUGAAGAUUCUAACGAAAUGUAUGUGAUCUUCCAUAAAAUUAAGAGAAGCACUGCUUUUGGCUUUGUUUAUAAAAUAAGUGUUUAAGCAAGUAUAAAAGUGGCAUACAGAGUAUAAUAUACAGUAUAGAAAUUUAAUUCACAUACUAACCUUGUC